rnacentral:rRNA from 1 species
UACGUAGGGGGCAAGCGUUGUCCGGAAUCAUUGGGCGUAAAGAGCGUGUAGGCGGCUCGAUAAGUCUGCUGUGAAAGUCCAGGGCUCAACCCUGGAAGGCCGGUGGAAACUGUCGGGCUAGAGUCCGGAAGAGGCGAGUGGAAUUCCCGGUGUAGCGGUGAAAUGCGCAGAUAUCGGGAGGAACACCAAUGGCGAAGGCAGCUCGCUGGGACGGUACUGACGCUGAGACGCGAAAGCGUGGGGAGCAAACGGG